AUUUGAGUUAGGAAACUGUCUUCAUAUCAUCUUUCUUCUCCCUUUUUACUUGCUCUAACAUUUUUGGCCUUUUCGUUUCAUCUUGGCAUAUUUACUACUCAUUCUUUUGAGCUGGCUCUGCCUGAUUUCUAUUUCAUUGGCUCAUAUUCACUAUUUCUGGCAAUAUUCGUUACAGGAGCAUCACAUUGGCUUGAAGCAACUGCAUGGUACUGGCAUUUUGUAGAUGUGAUUUGGUUAUUCCUAUUUGUCUUUAUCUAUUGGUGGGGAGGUAUAUGAAGGAACGAAAGAGUGGACCAUAUUAUUUCUCUUAUCAUUUUACAAAUUUGAUUUCCAAUACA